rnacentral:sRNA from 1 species
GUUUGUAUGCAAUUACAUAACUGUUUAAUAUGUGUUUGUUUAUAUACUUUUUUAUUUAUUUCAGCAAUAGAAACAGUAUUAACUGCAGUACCACCAGCAACAAUAUCUGCAGGACCAUCAGAUAUAUUAUAAAAUAGUAUUUAAAAUCAGUUGUCAGCCACAUGUGGUCUAUAUGAUGCAACAUGUUUGCAAUUGUUGGCAUGUCAUUU